rnacentral:misc_RNA from 1 species
AGAUCAUACAUAUUAAAGUAAUAUAGACAAAAAGAAUAGGACAGCAAAGAAUCCAUAUUUGGUCAAACAAGAAGCAUAAGCCAUCUUAAAUAACAAAAGGCAUUUGAAUAAGAAAAGGACUCCGUGAACAGACUGCAAGGUUGGUAUCACAUUAAUUGUAACGACCCAAAUCAGAUGACUGUUACCAGCGCUAGAGAACAGGCAGGCAAGAAGCACCAGCACCUAUAGCAAGCUUGAAUAUGCUUUCUUAAACCUUCAUAGGGCCCAUUCAAGUU